AGCCUGUGAUGAACUGCAUUAAUUUCUGACACCUCGUAUGAAAACUGCACGCGCAGUCUGAUUACAUUGCAGUGCUGAGGCUU
rnacentral:snoRNA from 1 species